rnacentral:lncRNA from 1 species
GGUGUAUAUGUGUUCGCUAGCGGAGUUCAAGUGAAUGAAUGACGUACGCCGGGGUGCGUGGUGCGCUUAUUAUGUGCAUUUGGUGGACCUGAUUGAAGCCAGUGGCACAGAAAGCGCGCGCUUUCGCCUGGCCUCUGUUGCAAAGGGGAGGGUGCUCGUUCUAGGGAACGAGGGAGGAACCGAGAACAAAUGAAAGCAACUAACAUCAGUCAAAUACUGAUAGAACAAAGUGUGACAACUGAGGGAUCAACUAGUACUCUGUGUCCGACUCCUCACAUUGUUGUUGUUGUUGUUGUUGUUGCUGCACCUGAUUCAACUCAUUGAGGACAAGGUGAUAAGUAGUUGAAUCAGCUGUGCCUCUCCAGGGCUACAACAAAAUAGGCUACUCUACCCCUGGAGUUGGAAAACACUGAAUUAGUAGGCUAGAGAUAGGCCUAAAGAACUCAAAUAGAGGUCCCAAGUAGAAAGGAGAAACGAAGGUGACUCUUCCACACACAUAAUCGCAACAAGUAACACACAAAACCUUCAUGCCAUAAUUGAGACACCGUCAAAUCCAAAGGGGGAAGAUGUAGGCAACGGGGAAACAAAUACACAUGGAAUGCCAUAAAGCCAAAGGGGCCCAUCAUGUUUUUUUUUCUUUAUUGUAGACAUUUGACUCAUUUGAGUGAAUGCAUACAUUUCAUACAAUGUCUAUUUUUUUUCUUUUUUUUGGUACUGGCCCCCCGUGGGAAUCAAACCCACAACCCUGGCAUUGCAAACACCGUUCUCUACCAACUGAGCCACAGGGAAGACGGCACAUGUCAUGUCACCUCAUCAGUCAUUUUGCUAUUGAAGGCCAUGUAAUGUAACAUCAAUCUUCUUUUUCUUCCCUAGACACGAUCCAGCCUGACAGUCAGGGAGCCAAGAGGACCUGAGGUUCCGAUGGGAAGGGUGGUGAUACCUCUGUAAGGUGAAACGCAGUAACACAUUCCUCAGACACCCACCCAAUGAAGGGCUAGUGUUCCUAUGUGUACAGAGGCGAGAGGGAUGUGCAAAU